CUGAUGGGUUGCUGGUUCCUCGCGGGCCGGAACUGGCUGGUUUUUCGGGCCGUGGUGCGUGUCGCGGAUCUCUGAGGGUGUGGGGGCUCUUCUUGGGUCGCAGUUUCUCUGAACCGAUCCUUGGCUUCAAAACAACAUCGUCACGUCGCUCCACAUCUGCAGGCUUUUGACUGUUUUGUCAUCGUGACGGUUCCGUUCCGUAAACAGUCGAGACCAUGGCAGAGCAGAACAUAGAGGCCAAGCUGAAGAACUUGCUGAAGCAGGAGAAGGUCCAGCUGUGGAGUCCUCCGUACACCGAUGACGAUGACCAGCCGGGACAGAUGCACAUGCAGGAGCUAGCACAGCGUUACGCUCCUGUGCUGCAUCUGUCAGUCACAGAGUUAGGGGGCGCUCUAGAGUCCAUCAGAGUACAGGCGGUGAAGAGGGGAAAGAGAAACAAGAUGUUUAGAGAGACCAGCGUAGCCACGCUUGAACUGCUGCUGCCCAGAGACAGCAGGAAGAAUCUGAAGGGGAGGAGCUUCCUGCAGACGAGGCUGGACGUGCCGCUGCAGCAGUUGGUGCAGAGGAUCAGGGAGGAGUUUGACCUUCAACACAUCAAACUGAUCCUCAAUGGCAGAACUCUGUGCGCAGAUCAGCGUCUGGAUGAGCAGGGUGUGAAGAAUCACAGUAAGGUGAUGGUGCUGAAGGUGAGCGACUCUGAGCAGAUGAACAAGGAAGAGCAGGAGAAGAAGGAGCAAAACGAAAGCCUUCAGAGGACCCAGAAAGGCUUCCAGAUCCUGUCUGAGAGAGAUGGCAGCGAGGAUCCAGAGUCCGUGCCGUACCUGGAGAUUGCAGACCAGAAGGGAAACCCACUAAAGAUCCCACACCACGAGAAGAAGGCUCUGAUCCUGGCCAUGGGUCUCCACGAGAGAGGCCGUGCUCUCAUGAAGAAGCAGCAGUACGACAGCGCUCUGUGUCACCUGCUGCAGGCUGACGAGCAGUUCAGUAAGUGCGGCUCUGCGCUGCUCGCCUCGGUGGACAACUUCUCUGUCCUGCAGCUGGACAUCGUGUGGUGCUACAGAGCUCUGGAGGCGCUAGGCUGCCUGGAGGAUGGGCGCGGCCGGCUGCAGCGCGCCGAGGACGGCUUCCUGCGCUGCUACGGAGAGCAGCAGCAGAGGCUGCUCAGGAUCCAGGGAAACUCUGGCCGAGAGGACGUUCUGUUCCUGCGCCUGUACCUCCUGCAGAGCCUGCUGUCCUACAUCGAGGGGAACGACGCCCAGGCGCGCCUGCAGCUGUCCAAGGUGGAGUCCCUGUACGCCCGCCUGUGUCCGGACUCAGAGAAGAUGGCUCAGCUGAUGGCGCUCGGGUUCACCGAGAGAGAAGCUCGUCUUGGACUGAGGGCGUGUCACGGAGAGCUGCAGGAGGCUGCCUUGUACAUCAGCAACCGCCAACAGGAGCGGCAGGAAGUAAAACAACGAGAGAGGAAGAAGAGGAAGAGGAGGAUGGACGCCAUCUCCACCCUGACAGAGCUGGGAUACUCCAGGAGAGAUGCGGCCAGAGCAUUGCACCUCGCUGACGGGAACGUGGACAGAGCCUACAAUAUCCUGCUGGACUCCAGUCAGCCUGAAAGCUCCAACAACAACCUAGAGGAGGGAGUCGGUCUGGAGAAUAUUGAUCAGUGUGUGUUUGUGUGUUUGUCAGCUGCUCUACCUCGGCUUCCAGAGGGACUCGUCUGAAGCCGCUCUCAGGUUGACGGCGGGGGACGUCCAGGCCGCAACUCAGCUGCUGCUGGACAACCAAGGUGUCCUCUCCCCAGAACUGCUGAGUCAGCCUCUUUCCUCUCUUUCCUCGCCAUCGUCAGAGGAGCCCAGCACCUCCUCCACCACUCCAGAGGAGAGUGAGCUGGUCAACGAGGUUCUGGAGGACAUCCCCCGUCAUGAAGAGGAGUAUCUGGACGUGACGCUGGAAGAGGAAGGCCAGCUUAUUGCCACCUUAAAGGCUUACCUGAACCCGGGACCCGUGCACACCAUUUGACGGUCACAUGACCCGCUACGUGCGGAACAGCACAGCACCAUCAUGCUUCCAUCCUGAAUCCACAAACAAAUCCCGAAAGUCCGGGUUUCAAGCAGGCUCUGUCUUUUUUCAGAGAUUGUUUGACAUCUAACCAAUCUGAGCAAAAACAACAGAUCCAGCCUGGGUCAGAACCGAGCCAGCCCCCGACUGAUUCUGUGUGUGUCCCUCUACUGUGAGAAAAGUGAAGAUGAAGAACAGCCAUGACUUCUUCAGUGUCCUGCUCUGAUCAACUCCUGGUACCCACCACAGAUUGGACAAUUUGAGGCAGACAUCCACCGAGUCUUCCAGAACCUUCUGCUUAUCAAACAGUGUUUGUAGAUGAAGGUGCUGCAGAGUCCUGCUGCCUGUUUGUAGUUGCUGUACAUUUUUGUGUGGACUGUCUCAAUAUUAAACAUGACGGAUUAACUUCC